CCGACCUCCUGCCGGCGAAGACGGGUCAUAAGAUGAAGGGUAAGGCAGGGGGUGUCGAGGGGCUGAAUGAGCCGGUCUCGGGGUCCCGAGAGCCCACCGGGUGAGGCUGCCUCAAUUAGCUUGGAAGGAGAAAAGAGACAGACAGAGACAGACAGACGGACGGAUGGACAGAGCCUCAGAAUUUAGCAAGAAAUGCUCUGGAAGCCUUCUCCUCGGUGCACAGAUUGAGAGAUUGAACCUAGGGAAGUGGAUAUGUUGUCAAGAUCACACUGUGAGUGGUCAGCAGUUCUGUUUUAUGAUUCAGU
rnacentral:lncRNA from 1 species